CCGUUCUCGUACGAUCACCGAAGUUAAGCAACGUCGAGCCUGGUCAGUAUCUGGAUGAGUGACCAUUUCGGAAUACCAAACGCUGUAA